UUCGUCUUGAAAAAGUCUUCGGCAGUUCGACUCUAAAAGCGCGCUCACACCGAGGAGAUUUGCGCCUAUAGUUCACUGUCUCAAAAUUUAAAUACGGGAGCAGCACAAACGAAACUUUUAUCCGCACAAACGAUCGAGACUAUUUUGCUGACGUCUUGCGUUGGGUGGUGGCCAACUUCACGCAGGUUAAAGAAACGUGUCAUCCAACAAAGUGUCGUUGACGUGAGGAGACGUCUGUCAAGGAAGGAGUCUCCAGCGUCAGCGCUUUGUGACGGUUUUCCGAGAUCUUCGGGACGGACAAGUUUACGCUUUACGCAAACUUGUCCUAGAACAAGAAAAAAGAGAGACUGGUGAGAGGCUAUAAUGCACGUGAGGUCGGGAACCGUAAUGCACGUGAGGUCGGGAACUAACUUGUUUCGUGGACGUUCCACAACAUUGAAUGUAGCUAUAAAUGGGUAAAAUGUCUAAUAAAUAAACAAAAAAAUAUCAUUCUCAUCUUGUAAGUUCUGUCUCUCUCGUGGCCUCUCUGUCCAUCCCUCCCUCCCUCCCUCUCAUUCUUUCUUUUUGUCUCUCUCCCCCUCUCUCCAGGCUUCAACUGUCGCUGCAGUAACCUGUUCUGCGCGGUCCACCGCUACUCGGACAAGCACGAUUGCCCGUACGACUACAGAGGAGCGGCGGCCGCCCAGCUCCGCAAAGAGAACCCCAUCGUGGUGGCGGAGAAGAUCCAGAAGUUAUGAGGACUGAUUAAAAGAACAAACGAACAAACAGAAAUGUGUUUGACCUGCAGAUUUUAUCAGAACGAUGGCGCCAGCGAUUGUGAUCCGUCUCCGAUCCUCCGUGGAGCGCUGAACACGCCUGCCCUAAAACUCCACGUCUUCCCCGACUCUCUUUGAGUGACAUAUCCGCGUGCGUGUGUGUGUGUGUGUGUGUGCGUGUGGUUGAGAGUCAGGGGGAGCACUCGUGGGUCUGGUGGGCGCUUUUUUUUUUUUCUUUUUUUUUGGUAGGGAUAAAAUUAACGUUUCCUUUUCACGGGAUUAGUGAUGUGUGGGUGUGGUCUCUGAGAAAAGGGGGCAGGGGGUUCGUGAGGCGGAGAUUCCGUCCCUUAUUUUAAUCCUUUUUAUCAUGCGCCAUCGAUUUUAUUAGUUUCCAGAACUUCUCUUUCACUUCGAGUGAGGUGAUUUUUGUUUUCUUUUCCCCUUUCCUGUUUUAAUGAGCGUAUGAAAGCGUAUCAGAGGAUCUAUAUUAAUAUAUUGUAGUUAGCUCGAAUAGUGUGAUUGCAUCCUAUUUAUUAUUAUUAUUAUUAUUAUUAGUUUUUGUUGCAUUUUUCAUUUGCUCGAGUAGCGAAAAAAAGAGGGAAAACCCCCAGCUUCGUCCUUUCGAUCACACGACGCGGCCGAGCCACAGACGAGAGACUGUCCGUCAUGUCGAAGCACAACGUCAUCGCGAUGAUCCGAGCGUCCCUGACGCCUUCGCACCAGAGCGGAUUUUCUUUCUUUUCCUGACCACAAAUAUUCCUGACCACCAGCAGACCAGCGAACGCCGGACACAUCGAAACACACCGUGCUCCGAUGACGACGUCACGCAGGAAGUCGUCGCCGCUUCCAGGAAGACAGACGAGACUCGCGUUCCUGUAAGGUGAUCAGCAGCGACCCUGAACCAGGCUAAACGCAAUGGCGUCGUACGACUCCAGCGUGACGCGACGCACGGCCCGAUCCGCGUAUACGACGCGUCACAGAACGCGAUAUCGUUCUUGUUUUCCGGAACGUCGUGAAGUGAUCUCGUAAAACCACAAUUUAAAAAAAAAUACAUAUAUUUUUUCGUCUAAUGUAUAUACCCCACCGCUACUUAUCCAUAUAGUUCUAAUCCAUCGUAGAGCGUGAUGAGGUUGGCGCGCAGGCGAGGGUGAGGUAAUACUUCGUAAAACUACGUGUAUGUUUUCAAACGUAUGUAUCCAGUCCUAAUCUGCUACUCGUACCGAAGCGGAGGAAUGAAGGAUGAGUGGGGGGGGGUCUUUAUUUAUUCGAAAGGGC
ensembl:lncRNA